rnacentral:lncRNA from 10 species
AAGAAGCAGAGAUGUACCAGUGCUAUUUACUCAGAGAGAAAAGGCCAUGUGAAGAUACAGUGAGAAGGCGGCCAUAUGCAAGCCAAGGAGAGGAGCCCCAGAAGAAACCAAACCUGCUGACAUCUUGAUCUUGGACUUCCAGCCUCCAGAACUCCCCAGUCAUCAGCCCAAAGAAUUACAGCUCCUGAGACUCAUCAUUUGCCAAUCCUGAGAGAUGUCCAGAUUUGAGACUACUCAUACCAGAACUCCAUUAUGCUGACAUGUGCCUGGCCUUCAAAAUGAAGGUGGAAGUGUGUAGUUUUCUCUGCUGUGUUAAAUGCCCUAGUCAGGGCUUACAUAUAAGAACUAUCUGAGAAUGAUAGUGCAACAAAACAAGAAAAUAUAUCUUCAAUUCAUAUUGUUAUUAGAUAAACAUCCUUGCUUACUUUAAAAAUCAUUUCCAGGACAAAGUAGCCCUUGAGAGUCUUGACAGUCUGUGCCUCAACCACAAUCUAUUGUAACCCAGCCUGAUAAUUUCAGCAAAUGAAUCUUAGAUGCAAAUGUACCAGUAAUGCUUUUAGUCUACAAUUUAUUUCUGACAUUAUUGUCUACCCUAGAGCUGUUUAAAUUAUUUAAACUAGAAAAAUAGUGAUGGGUUUGAAAAUGAAAACUAAAUAAUCAAACAUGGCCAUCAAAAUACUCCCAGGUAAUCACUGGAUUCCUAAAGCAAAGAUAAUUGGUAAAAUCAGAUUUUGUUUGAAGUCCAUGUCAUCGUGAGCUACUUGGUCAUGCCUACAGUAAAGAUUCAAACAUUAUUGGUAAG